rnacentral:lncRNA from 1 species
AGAAGAAAACAGAGCCCAUAAUGGUCAAUUUCAGGAAAAUGUUGGCAAUUGUUUGUUGAUUGAAAUGGCAUUUCAAGAAAACAGAGCCCAUAAUGCCAUUUCAAGCAUACUGUCAUUUCUGAAACGAAUAUAACUGAUAAGUGUUUAUCCCAAAACUUUGUUUUUGUCAAAUCCUGCAGAUGUGAAAUAUAUAUAUCAGAUAAUUGGAACAUUUGUUUUCAAUUAAAAAAAAAAUAUGAAACAAAAGAAAAGAACAUGCAUAAUAAAGAAAACAACCUAAUAAUUGCAGAACAAAAGAACGUGGUGUGGUGGUGAUGUAAAAUAGUAUCCUACUUUUAUUACCAUUCAACAUGAUGUGGAAAGGUUAUCUCCUUUACAUCUUAUGGCUAAGUCCCCACCAUGAAAUCUGAUUACUCAAACCUCCUAUAAAUUAAAGAAAAUGUAAACCAUUAGAUUAUUUCGUUAUGGAAAUGAAAACAUAGCAUUCUUAAAUUAUACGCCCCUAAUCAUAUUUUGUAUAUAUAAACCGAUACCCUGCAAAAAAAUAAAAAUAAAAAUAAAAACAAAGAAAAGGUGUUUGAUACCUUCUUAUCAUUCCCGGCUGAACUAUAAGAUUUACCCAAGAAAAGACACCUGCAAAAAAAAGGAGAAAUAAAAAUCUUGAUGAAUAUAAAGAGUUGAUGAUUCCAUUCCAUGUUUUUGUGAUAAAGAUUCCCAAUACUCGCCAAUAUAUGUUGUAUAUAACUCUAUGGGGUCUCACUAUAGUAUGAAUCGUUAUGCCCAUAUUGUACAAAUUUCGUUGUUAUGUAUCAACUGGGUAAAGAAUUCCGGUGAGAGAAUUUGGGUAUGAUGAGGGAUUUUGAAGCAGCGAUACCAUUGUGACUCAACUUUGAUACUUUUCGGUAAUCAUCACCUAGAAAACAAAUUUAAAAUAAGUUUAAGCUCCAUCAGAUUUGAGAAUAUUAACAAAGGGUAUUUAAAAAUACACAUAACA